UGCAAGUCGAGCGGAGUGAUGGUGCUUGCACUAUCACUUAGCGGCGGACGGGUGAGUAAUGCUUAGGAAUCUGCCUAUUAGUGGGGGACAACAUUUCGAAAGGAAUGCUAAUACCGCAUACGUCCUACGGGAGAAAGCAGGGGAUCUUCGGACCUUGCGCUAAUAGAUGAGCCUAAGUCGGAUUAGCUAGUUGGUGGGGUAAAGGCCUACCAAGGCGACGAUCUGUAGCGGGUCUGAGAGGAUGAUCCGCCACACUGGGACUGAGACACGGCCCAGACUCCUACGGGAGGCAGCAGUGGGGAAUAUUGGACAAUGGGCGCAAGCCUGAUCCAGCCAUGCCGCGUGUGUGAAGAAGGCCUUAUGGUUGUAAAGCACUUUAAGCGAGGAGGAGGCUACUGAAGUUAAUACCUUCAGAUAGUGGACGUUACUCGCAGAAUAAGCACCGGCUAACUCUGUGCCAGCAGCCGCGGUAAUACAGAGGGUGCAAGCGUUAAUCGGAUUUACUGGGCGUAAAGCGCGCGUAGGCGGCUAAUUAAGUCAAAUGUGAAAUCCCCGAGCUUAACUUGGGAAUUGCAUUCGAUACUGGUUAGCUAGAGUGUGGGAGAGGAUGGUAGAAUUCCAGGUGUAGCGGUGAAAUGCGUAGAGAUCUGGAGGAAUACCGAUGGCGAAGGCAGCCAUCUGGCCUAACACUGACGCUGAGGUGCGAAAGCAUGGGGAGCAAACAGGAUUAGAUACCCUGGUAGUCCAUGCCGUAAACGAUGUCUACUAGCCGUUGGGGCCUUUGAGGCUUUAGUGGCGCAGCUAACGCGAUAAGUAGACCGCCUGGGGAGUACGGUCGCAAGACUAAAACUCAAAUGAAUUGACGGGGGCCCGCACAAGCGGUGGAGCAUGUGGUUUAAUUCGAUGCAACGCGAAGAACCUUACCUGGCCUUGACAUAGUAAGAACUUUCCAGAGAUGGAUUGGUGCCUUCGGGAACUUACAUACAGGUGCUGCAUGGCUGUCGUCAGCUCGUGUCGUGAGAUGUUGGGUUAAGUCCCGCAACGAGCGCAACCCUUUUCCUUAUUUGCCAGCGAGUAAUGUCGGGAACUUUAAGGAUACUGCCAGUGACAAACUGGAGGAAGGCGGGGACGACGUCAAGUCAUCAUGGCCCUUACGGCCAGGGCUAC
rnacentral:rRNA from 1 species